UCUCCGUUGGUGAACCAGCGGAGGGAUCAUUACUGAGUUACCGCUCUACAACCCUUUGUGAACAUACCUAACUGUUGCUUCGGCGGGCAGAGGUCCCUCGCGGAUCUCUCCCGGCAACGCCCUCACGGGCGGAGCGCCCGCCGGAGGAUACCAAACUCUAUUUUAACGACGUUUCUUCCGAGUGGCACAAGCAAAUAAUUAAAACUUUUAACAACGGAUCUCUUGGUUCUG
rnacentral:misc_RNA from 1 species